GACGGAGGGUGCUAGCGUUGUUCGGAAUCACUGGGCGUAAAGGGCGCGUAGGCGGCUUUGGCAGUCGGCUUGUGAAAGCCCGGGGCUCAACCCCGGAGGUGCGGCCGAUACUCCAAGGCUGGAGGCCGGAAGAGGAGGGUGGAAUACCCAGUGUAGAGGUGAAAUUCGUAGAUAUUGGGUGGAACACCGGUGGCGAAAGCGGCUCUCUGGUCCGGUCCUGACGCUGAGGCGCGAAAGCGUGGGGAGCAAACAGG
rnacentral:rRNA from 1 species